GACGAACGCUGGCGGCGUGCCUAAUACAUGCAAGUCGAGCGGAACGGGGGGAGCUUGCUCCUUCCAGUUUAGCGGCGGACGGGUGAGUAACACGUGGGCAACCUGCCCUGCAGAUCGGGAUAACUCCGGGAAACCGGUGCUAAUACCGAAUAGUUUGGCGCCUCUCCUGAGGCGCUACGGAAAGACGGUUUCGGCUGUCACUGCAGGAGCUGCCCGCGGCGCAUUAGCUAGUUGGUGGGGUAACGGCCCACCAAGGCGACGAUGCGUAGCCGACCUGAGAGGGUGACCGGCCACACUGGGACUGAGACACGGCCCAGACUCCUACGGGAGGCAGCAGUAGGGAAUCUUCCGCAAUGGACGCAAGUCUGACGGAGCAACGCCGCGUGAGUGACGAAGGUUUUCGGAUCGUAAAACUCUGUUGUGAGGGAAGAACACGUACCAACUAACUAUUGGUACCUUGACGGUACCUCACCAGAAAGCCACGGCUAACUACGUGCCAGCCGCCGCCGUAA
rnacentral:rRNA from 1 species